GAAACAUUUGAAGUGACUUAGUGGCGGACGGGUGAGUAACGCGUGGGUAACCUGCCCUGUACUGGGGGACAACAGUUGGAAACGGCUGCCAAUACCGCAUAAGCGCACAGCAUCGCAUGGUGCAGUGUGAAAAACUCCGGUGGUACAGGAUGGACCCGCGUCUGAUUAGCUAGUUGGUGGGGUAACGGCCUACCAAGGCGACGAUCAGUAGCCGGCCUGAGAGGGUGAACGGCCACAUUGGGACUGAGACACGGCCCAGACUCCUACGGGAGGCAGCAGUGGGGAAUAUUGCACAAUGGGCGCAAGCCUGAUGCAGCGACGCCGCGUGAGUGAUGAAGUAUUUCGGUAUGUAAAGCUCUAUCAGCAGGGAAGAAAAUGACGGUACCUGACUAAGAAGCACCGGCUAAAUACGUGCCAGCAGCCGCGGUAAUACGUAUGGUGCAAGCGUUAUCCGGAUUUACUGGGUGUAAAGGGAGCGUAGGCGGCAUGGCAAGUCAGAUGUGAAAGCCCGGGGCCCAACCCCGGAACUGCAUUUGAAACUGUCAGGCUAGAGUACCGGAGAGGUAAGCGGAAUUCCUAGUGUAGCGGUGAAAUGCGUAGAUAUUAGGAGGAACACCAGUGGCGAAAGCGGCUUACUGGACGGUAACUGACGCUGAGCUCGAAAGCGUGGGGAGCAACAGGAUUANAUACCCUGGUA
rnacentral:rRNA from 1 species